GGGUGGGAUACCAUUAGAAUAGUGGUAUACGAAUACGCGUGAGACUAUGGUUUACGAAGAAAGGGUACGGCCNCGCCUGGGAUGAGCCCGCUUCCCAUUAGGUAGUUGGUGAGGUAAAGGCCCACCAAGCCGGAGAUGGGUAGCCGGCCUGAGAGGGUGAACGGCCACACUGGGACUGAGAUACGGCCCAGGCNCCUACGGGAGGCAGCAGCUAAGAAUAUUCCGCAAUGGACGAAAGNCUGACGGAGCGACGCCGCGUGUAUGAAGAAGGCCGAAAGGUUGUAAAGUNCUUUUAUUGCUGAAGAAUAAGUGGUGGAGGGAAUGCCANCAUGAUGGCGCGAAGCAAUGAAUAAGCCCCGGCUAAUUA
rnacentral:rRNA from 1 species